UACGUAGGUGGCAAGCGUUGUCCGGAUUUACUGGGCGUAAAGAGCGCGCAGGCGGUCGUUCAAGUCGAGUGUGAAAGCCCCCGGCUCAACUGGGGAGGGUCACUCGAUACUUAUCGACUCGAAGGCAGAAGAGGGAAGCGGAAUUCCCGGUGUAGCGGUGAAAUGCGUAGAGAUCAGGAAGAACAUCGGUGGCGAAGGCGCUCUGCUGGACCAUAACUGACACUCAGGGACGAAAGCUAGGGGAGCGAAUGGG
rnacentral:rRNA from 1 species